UGGGGAAUAUUGGACAAUGGGGGGAACCCUGAUCCAGCCAUGCCGCGUGUGUGAAGAAGGCCUUAUGGUUGUAAAGCACUUUAAGCGAGGAGGAGGCUACUGAGACUAAUACUCUUGGAUAGUGGACGUUACUCGCAGAAUAAGCACCGGCUAACUCUGUGCCAGCAGCCGCGGUAAUACAGAGGGUGCGAGCGUUAAUCGGAUUUACUGGGCGUAAAGCGUGCGUAGGCGGCUUUUUAAGUCGGAUGUGAAAUCCCCGAGCUUAACUUGGGAAUUGCAUUCGAUACUGGGAAGCUAGAGUAUGGGAGAGGAUGGUAGAAUUCCAGGUGUAGCGGUGAAAUGCGUAGAGAUCUGGAGGAAUACCGAUGGCGAAGGCAGCCAUCUGGCCUAAUACUGACGCUGAGGUACGAAAGCAUGGGGAGCAAACA
rnacentral:rRNA from 2 species